rnacentral:rRNA from 1 species
UACGGAGGGUGCAAGCAUUGAUCGGAAUUACUGGGCGUAAAGGGCGCGUAGGCGGCCUGAAAAGUCAGAUGUGAAAUUCCGGGGCUCAACCCCGGAGCUGCAUUUGAAACUUUCAGGCUUGAGGUUAGUAAGGGAAAACGGAAUUCCACGUGUAGCGGUGAAAUGCGUAGAUAUGUGGAAGAACACCGGUGGUGAAGACGGUUUUCUGUGCUAAACCUGACGCUGAGGCGCGAAAGCUAGGGGAGCAAACAGG